rnacentral:misc_RNA from 1 species
AAGUCGUAACAAGGUUUCCGUAGGUGAACCUGCGGAAGGAUCAUUAACACGUAUCCACGUUUAUCUACCUACCGCGAACUGUUUUCACCCUCUCCCUCUUACCUGCACAAUGAAUUGAACCGCUGCGCGGCCAACUGAUCUGGGAGAAAUCCCGGUCGACAAUUGGAUGUGUUGUUUGUAACGAGGACAAACAAACCCAUAAAUUAAAACCUAUUUCACCCCCCCUUUUUGCUAGUUGACUUUUUAAUAUGUUGUUCCUCUUCCUCACCGGAGUGGUUCACACGUUUAAAUUAUUUGAACGUUAAAAAAUACAACUCUUAGCAAUGGAUAUCUUGGUUCUC